rnacentral:rRNA from 1 species
CCUACGGGGGGCAGCAGUGAGGAAUAUUGGUCAAUGGCCGGAAGGCUGAACCAGCCAUGCCGCGUGAAGGUCAGUGCCCUAUGGGCGUUAAACUUCUUUUGUGCGGGAGCAAUAAUGGUCACGUUUGGCCAGACGAGAGUACCGUACGAAUAAGCAUCGGCUAACUCCGUGCCAGCAGCCGCGGUAAUACGGGGGAUGCAAGCGUUAUCCGGAUUUAUUGGGUUUAAAGGGUGCGUAGGCUGUGAGGUAAGUCAGCGGUGAAAUGCCCCCGCUCAAAGGGGUGAAGUGCCAUUGAUACUGCCUGGCUGGAAUGCGGAUGCCGUGGGAGGAAUGUGUGGUGUAGCGGUGAAAUGCAUAGAUAUCACACAGAACACCGAUUGCGAAGGCAUCUCACGAAUCCGCGAUUGACGCUGAUGCACGAAAGCGUGGGUAUCAAACAGGAUUAGAUACCCUUGUAGUC